UCGUUAAGUCCUUAAAAAUAUUUGUGACCAAAUGAUACGCUAUUACUAGGACAAUAGCGAUAUCAAGUGUAGGUCAUUGUGUGCCAUAUGAGUUGGUUAUCCUCUUAACUAAGGAGUGUGGAGACACUGUUAUGACAUACAGAUGGAAUGUAGGAGUACAUUCGCAUCGAAUAUGAUCAUGUGCCGAGUACUCUACUGUCAAGAGUAGCUCAUAAAGGGUAUGGGUAUAAGUAUCUUUCCGAUCUGAGACCACCACGGUGACUUAUAAGUAACUCAUUGUACUUUAAUAUCAGACCAUCUGAAUUUCUAACUCAGUGACGGAAGGCUACUGGGUGCAGUCAAGUACUUAUCAAGUUCGUGUGUGAGUCAAGAUGGAAUUGACCCCUCUGAAUUAGUAGGAGAUAUGCAUUAGUGUAUUUCAAUUUAGUAAAAUCUUGGCCAGGAUAAUUUAUGAGAUGAAUUUGAAAGAUUGAAAUAUAAUAUGGUCGACUAAAUUAAGGUUGACAGUUAAACCCUAGAUCACCUUGAGUAU
rnacentral:lncRNA from 1 species